rnacentral:rRNA from 1 species
UACGUAGGGGGCAAGCGUUGUCCGGAUUUAUUGGGCGUAAAGAGCGUGUAGGCGGCCAUACAGGUCCGUUGUGAAAACUGGAGGCUUAACCUCCAGACGUCGAUGGAAACCGUAUGGCUAGAGUCCGGAAGAGGAGAGUGGAAUUCCUGGUGUAGCGGUGAAAUGCGCAGAUAUUAGGAAGAACACCCGUGGCGAAGGCGGCUCGCUGGGACGGUACUGACGCUGAGACGCGAAAGCGUGGGGAGCGAACAGG